rnacentral:misc_RNA from 1 species
GUAGAUCAAUGUGAACUGCCGUUUAGGAAGGCCGAUAAGAAUCCUUUUUUUUUGUUUAUACAAUGAGAAAAUAGCAAACACACCUAUUUUGGAAUGUUGCCAUGUUUAAAAGAUACUGCCGUUUUCUGUCCAGGCGUCCUUUGGUGAUAGUUUUAAUCGUUUUAGCGGUGACACUAGCCGCCUGCGUCUCCGUUUUACUUAGCGGAAAAGCACCGCGACUAGGGGAGGCAAGCGAGGGAUUCGAGACUCGAAAUACUGAGUGGGCCAGGCGCGAUACGACAUUACUAGACUUACUGGAGGCGACAAAAGAUGGUAAUAGACGCCGUCGCAAAAUUUCACCAUCCGAUACGAAUAUCACAUACGACGAUGAGGAUAAUAGUGUCAAAUUUGAAAGGCCUAAAUGCGCAGGAGUUUGCCAGGGGCUUAAUCCAGGUAAGGAAACUUGGAGUAUCAUUUUCAAAAUGUAAAGUCAAGAUAAAUGCGGUGUAGAUACAUUUUCAGAUCAAUGACUUCUAUUUAAAAACUUCUUAUAGAUACCUCUUUUAAUUUCUUUAAUAGUUUCGUGAUAAAGUUGCAAAAUUAUUGAAAGGUUUAGUAAUCGCACUGAACAAAUCACGAAUUUUUCAAAAGUUUUAUGUUCUCCUUUAAAAACUCAAAUUACAUUUUUAAUCAAUCAUAAUUCGAGGAAUAUAUAUACAUAUAUAUAUUAUGGUAAAUAUAAGGCUUAGGUCCGGUUUCCAUAGACACUCCGUUGCUUCAUGCAUGUAUUGCUCAGGUCGUGUAAUCGACAGUACAUUCAACUGAUACGCUUGCCUUAAAAAAGCGUUUCUUUGGAUAGAUAAAAAUUAUAUACGUUGAGAAAUGAAAUUCCUAUAUUAUAUAGAUUGUUGAAAAAAUUCAAUAUUUUCUAGUUUAUCACUUAGUAGUGACAUAUUUCAACGUUUGCCCCAAUUUUGUUGUCGUUUUUUUUCUAUAUUUUGUAAAUUUAACUUAUUCGUAAGAAACCUUAAUCAAUAGAAAACGUCAUUCAACAUGGAAAAUCUCAACUUUCGAUAAAAAUUUUGAUUGCCAGUAUUUUAAAAGGUCUAGCGAGAAAAAAAUUUUUUUUAAAUGAAGGCUUGUCAAUGGAUGAAAAGCUAUUAAAAGUUGACCGAUAUGUGUGACUUGACACCUGACGUCUGUGGGCAAAAACCAGAAGCAACUGGACUGUACUCUAAAUUCUAUUAUGCACCAUUAGAGCAUUUAUAAAAGUAUCUUAAGGAAAGGAAAAGUUAAAAAAAAAUGUAAAAGUGUAUGAUUCUACUAAUUAUGUAAAUUAAUUCCAUUGAAAAGACAUUUGACCAAGGUUUAGUGGAGAGUUUUGUUUAAGGAAAGCAAGAAAGAUUUACGUGACACCUUUGCACUCGACCCGGUGUAGCAAUAUAUAUUUCACAGUUUGCUUCGCGUUAAUUAUAUAUUAGACGCGAUUUCCCAUACACUAAAGGCGUCUAAUCUCAUUAACGUUCCAUCCUAAGCAUCCGUUAUAAACAUUUUUCUCUCUCUAUUUCAUACCAUUUUCAUCAAAAAGAUAGCUGUAAAAGGUAAUAUAAGCUGAUGUUGUCCCAUAAAUUGACUACCUGUGGCAGUGAACUACGAACCAGAUCAACUUGGGAGAAAAAAUAAGAAGUAAACACAUCUGUCUCGUGUAAAGGAUAAUUGAACCUUGAUUGGUUUAAUAAAAAACUUUGAUAGGAGGAUUAAUUCCUUUUAGAACGAAAAUUAACUAUUGAACUGGUGCCAGUCAAUUAUUCGUUUUAGUAACUUUAUUGACUCAACAGCAAAUACCAAACGUUUCUUACAAGUUCUAAACUAUUCCAUACGUUUCCACAAUUUACAAUACGUUGAUUUUAUUAAUAAUCGAUUAUCGCUCCCUCCUACUUCGCACUAAAGAUACCAUUAAUUAAAACUACUCCAUUUUCCAUCGACGAAGCAUUUUUAUAAGAAAAUAAUAAUCAAUGAAAAGAGAAAAAAAAGCAGACUUUAAUAUACAGUUGUAUAUGCUGUAUAGACAGUGUGCACAAUUUAUUGAUCAUUUAAUAGUUGCUGGACAUACUAAGCAAAAUUAAUAUAUAUUCUAUAUUAAAUAAAGAGUAUCCGGUUUAAAACACAAGUAUAAGAGACCUAUAAAUGCACAAUAGUAUCAAGAAGAAAUGAUAGAAUAAACUUCUUCAACCUUAUUCCACGGUAAAAAAUACUUUUAGAGUAAUUACUAAUGAGGUUUCUAAGAUGGAACAACAAAAUUCCCUUUUUUUUCUUUUUUUUUAUCCUUACAUCUUUCUCUCCCUCUCUAAUUCUUUAUCUCUGUCUAUCUGUCUGUCUGUCUGUCUGUCUGUCUGUCUGUCUCAUUUUCUUUCUUCGUUUAGUUUACCUUAAACUACGUAAAAAUAGUCAAUAUUGUUUAACAUACGAUAGAUCGUAAUUUGUUUGUUUGAUAAGUAAUUAUAACGUAGGCUUGAAGUGUUAACAAAGUAGAAAAAAGAGAGAAAAAAAGGGAAAAAAUGUUGAUCCUUAUUUUAUUUUUCUAGUGUUGUGACUGUUGAAAGAUUACAAUUUUUUUUUGCCAAGAUUCUUUUUUACUCUCGUUUUUCAUCACUUCACUCUCAUCUUUCAUUUUAAGAGGUUUUUUUUUAAAGUAAUACUUCUAACAGUGGAAUCAUCUCGUUUUCAUGAUGAAGACUAUAGUCCUUUCUUAACCAUUUUUAAUAGGACUAAUUUAAUGAAAAUUCUUUGAAACAAUACUAGUACAAUAAAUUAGAGUAGGUGGCUUACAUCUGUGUAAUUAAUCAUCUUCUGUUUUAGAAUCGGCCCAUCGAUAUGUAAGACUAAUUUGGUAUAGGCGUUCCUCAUCUAUUCUAUCCUUCGUUAAAAGUGUCUGCCGAUUUGAAAAAAGUGCAACUGCUUCCACGAUAUUUCGUAAAGACUGCGAAACAUCGGCCAACUGUUCCUGCUGCCCAAUUCGUUCUGUGACAUCAAUUUUAGCUGCUGACAACAAUUGUAGUUCGAUAAAUAAUAGAAAUCUUAAAAUUUUCUUAUCGGCUAUCAAGAGAUGCUCGAAUAGUAGCGGAAACUGUAAUGGGUAUGAUGAAGUUGUUCAGUUUCUAAUCGACGGAAGUUUUGGUCGCCGUAAGGAUGUAAGCUAUAUCGCAUCCUUUUUACCAAUAAGUGCUAGCUCAGAAACUGCCUUACCCUUCUGGGACUCUGUCGACUUUUUAAAUAUGAGAGAUGAACAUGCUGAAUUAGUUGCUGCUAGGGACGUGAUUCAGAUCCGUUACAAUAUCUUUAUAUCUAAUAGUAUUAUUGAUAAGUAAUUAUUUAAAAAAAUUUGACUUGACAUGUUUAUUACUAUAUAAACAAAAUAAUUGUUAUAAUUAAAACAUAAAAGCAAGUGUAAUUAAUAAGAAACUUUGAGAAAAGAAAACAAACAAGUCUGAAUCAUAUCCCUUUAAUAAUCUCAAUGCAGAUUCGGCGUAAAAGAAGCCUUGUUCACGGAGCACUUGAAGAUCGAUUUAAAAUACGGCUGUAUGGGCGCAUUGUUCGUCUUAUGUACCAUUUGGCUUUACAGUUCUUCGUUGUUCAUCACAAUUGUUGUGUUACUACAGAUCUUCCUCGCCCUAAUUCUAGCCUAUUUUAUCUACGUUUUCAUCCUAUCAAUGAACUUUUUCCCUUUCGUCAACAUUCUGACGGGUGUUUUGCUAUUAGCCGUAGGUGUUGACGAUGCAUUUGUCUACCUACAAAUUUGGAAGUUAGCCAAAUCGGAUAAACUAACAGGAACGCUGGAACGUCUGGUACUUAACAGCCUCCGGCAUUCAACUUAUUGUAUGCUAGCGACCAGUACGACAACCGCCGGAGCGUUGCUAUCAAAUUUGUUAUCUGCCAUCGUUAGCAUUCGCUGUUUCGCCGUUUUUUCCAGCUUAGCAGUUGGCCUACAUUUAUUACUAUCGGUAACGUGGUUGCCAGCUGCUGCGUUGCUGCAUGAUCAAUAUUGCGGGGGCGUAUAUCCUCGAUUUGUGUUCUACGAGAAAGCCACAAGAUUAGUUAGAACGUUUUUCGACGACCUUCUACCCACCGUCAUUCUUCGUCUGCGAUAUUUUUGGAUAUGGAACGUGAUUCGAGAAGGAAUCAUUGACCCUCUCUUUAACUCUUUCCCACAAAGAUUUUCUUAUUACACUUUCUGACAAAAGAUGAAAAUGUGGCUAAUUUCGCGCCAAAAAAAGUUUCAGAAAAUGAGAAUAAUUGGGCUUAGAUCUUACAGCCACUAUGCCUGUAGUAUCUUAGGAUAUAUACAUAUAUUAUGGUGUAAGCUUUUACGCCUACUUAACGUUGCAUUGAGGAAAAGUUCUACUUUUCUAUUUACCGUAAAACUAUAUUAUCGCUCAUAAAAAGGAAGAAAAAGUAGCUGCUACGAAAAGAAAAUUGAGGCCAAUAUACUGAAACAAUUCUUGUAGGAGAAAACGUUAAAAUUUAUUAUAAAUCAUAGAUUUCAAGCAAUCAAAACGGAUAGAAAUAAGAGGGGAAAAAAGAAUAAGAAUAAUAUUCCACAAAGCCAGCUCAAAAGCUUAGCAAGGGAAAAGUCCUCUAUAUAUAUAUAUAUAUAUAUAUUCUAGAGAAUAUCCUUAAGUAUAAAUUUAACUAAAACGAUUUAUGAUCGAGCAGAUAAAAUUAAAUCGAUAUUUUAUUACUAGACAAUUGCGAAAUCGAAUAUUCAAUCAGACUUCCCGCAAGCAAUAGAGCACAAAUUGUUGCUGUGGGCCUAAAAAUAGUUUUUGUAAGAAAACAGCCUGUUUAAAUAAAGUAUGAAAAAGAUAAUUAUGUUGCAUUUUUGGAUUAUUUAAGUGCAAAUAUAUAAAUAAAUAAAAAAUAUUCUUUUUUAUAUAAUCUCUUAGAACAAAGUAAAAAAAAUAAUUUUUUUUUAAAAAGACAACCUGCUGCCAAAAUCGUUUAGAAAGGCAUCUGUCGCAGCCCGAUUGAAUAAUUUAAGUGAAUUCUAAAGAAUUCUUAUCUUUUUUAAAUUCCCGAAUCACGUUCCAUGUUCUUGCCUCAUACAGCUUGCUCUUUUUACUUAUUCUACUCGGCUGCUUAACGACUUUUGUAUACCCGACGAUAAGGCUACCAUCAUCCCCUUCGUUAGCUCUCUUCCAUUCUGAUCAUCCACUAGAAGCUUAUGACCGUUACAAAAUGGAGUUCCUUUGGGAAAGGGCGGCUGCAAAAAAACGACGCCCAAUGCCAAUAUGGAUCGUUUGGGGAGUCAUUGCUAAGGAUCGACGACACUCUUUCUCCCCUACUACUUCUUACUAUCCACCAAUCUAUGAUCAUUUAUUUAAUCCAUCUGCUAAUGAAUCCCAGCUAUGGCUUUUAAACUUUUGUAAAAGUAUGCGGAAAAUUCACUACGUUGAUUCUAAGCAGGGCCUAUUACCAGGUGUUGUUAACGGGUGUUAUAUUGAAGGAGUAGUAGAUUUUGUACGACAGUCCUGCCUUGGUGUAAAAGAUUUCAGGUGUUGCAAGAAUGCAACAACCUUUCCAUUAAUGGGUUCCCAAUAUGAGGAAUGUGUUGACCGUUGGCGUAGGGAAGCGUGGAGAACUAGCCACCUAUUCUAUGGUUCGGCCACAAAAACUUCAGGUCUCAGAUAUGAUUUUAAAAGAAAAUUAUCUGGUCUAAUAGUUCAGUUUGACUCGACACAACCUUAUACGAGGAACUAUGAAGAUACACUUCGGUUUCGCGAAGCCGUAGAGAAUGAUGUUAAAAAAUUAAUGAAGUCCGCCCCACCCGAAAUGUCGAAUGGCUUCUUUACGUCUGAGUUUAAUCUGGUUGACUUGCAGAACCAUCUUCUUAAAGGUGUCCAAUCUGGGGUAAUAGUUUCAGUUUGCGUUGCUGGCUUCGUCUCUUUAAUCGGAUCUCUUAACCUUAUACUUGCUAUCUUAUCAACGCUCUGUAUUGCCGCAGCCACGUCUGCUACUUUAGGUCUUUUGACUCUCGUCUCACCUGAAUUAGAUUCAGUACAAGCUGUUCUAAUCGUUCUCUCUGUUGGUUUAUGCGUGGAUGGAAUUCUUCAAGUUAGUAUGGCUUAUAGGUUGUCGCCUGAUUUGAGGAGAUUAUCAAGGCUACGAACGGCUUUGAAGAAUUGUGGCCCUGCAGUCACAUUUUCCUCCCUAAGUACUGGUGCAAUUGGCAUUAGUUUUGUAUUUGCACCCCUGAGAGCGUAUUUUCAACUUGGUGCUCUUCUGGCUUUCGUCUCUUUAUCUACCUGGUUAACGGGCAUCUUUGUACUACCGGCCCUUUUAAGCGUUGUUGGUCCGGAGGGCGAUUUCUUACAAGCAAAUUGGCCGACAUCAAACUGUUGUGAAUCGGACGGUUCUCAUGAAGAUAAGACCGUAUACGCCGUACAAAGUGAAGAAACAGCUAGCACAAGCCAUUCUUUACACGAAUUAGAGCCUUUAACGCCAGCUGAACCACCACGAAGAUCACCAUAUAUGAGACCUGCGCCGGUUUUCUAUAGAAAUGGAUCUUUAUUAAAGUCUGCAGAAGAGGGUGGCGAACGUGCUUAGUAGAUGCUUUUGAAUAAAAAAUUAUACUCUUCUACUUACUGCUAUACAAAUUGUUUACAUUUUGUUGCUUGUUUUACUUUUUUUCUGAUUAAUUAAUCUUACUGUUUUGUUAUUUACUCUCAAAAUGGGAAACCUAUGGUUUCUGUUGAUUUCUUGCAAAUCCAAAAAAGAAAAUAUGAAUGAAAACGAGAAGAAAAUAGAAAGAGUGAAAAAAAUAUAUGAGAAAGAAUGUGAAGAAGAGGGUGAGUGAGUAAGUGAGUGAGGAAGCGAGAGAGAGAGAGAGAGAGAGAGGGAAGAAAUUAACAAUGCGAUUACUUGAUUUUUUUUCCUUCUUUUCUUCACCGUCUCUUUUUUUCUAUUGAACUAUUUAUUAUUUGGAGCAGAGAGCAUGUAAAACGAACAAAUAAAUACUUGAUCUAACUGUUUUUCAAAAUACAAAAAUCAAUAAGCCUCACUAAUCAACACGCCAGUUGUGGCUUGCCUAAAUAAUUGGCCGCAAAUGAGUAGAAAGAGGGUGGGAAAUACUUGGCCGCUUCAUAAUCUUGUUUUCUCACAAGGCGAUAAAAAAUAAUAUAAUUGGAACUAUUAAAUGUUAGAAUCGUUAGUUUACUGGGUGAGUAAAAUAAACUUUCUAAGAAAAUAAGAUAGGCCAUAUCUUCAGGGUUCAAUUUGGUUAAUACUCUCUUUAAACUGAGAAAUAGAAAAAUGAUUAAAAUAGCGCACGGGACCCU